rnacentral:pre_miRNA from 1 species
UUUUUAGCAUAAGUAUAUCCCAUACAAUAUUUGGGACAUACUUAACUAAAA